rnacentral:tmRNA from 1 species
GGGGGUGUAAUGGCUUCGACAUCCAUGGUUGUAUUAAUAAUGCAGUAGUGUGGUAGACUAUAAUUACUACUAGGCUUCAUACAAAUGGAAACCAAAAACAAGAAGAAGAAUUUGCUUACAAUGAUUUAUUUGUAGCACAAAGUCUUCAAAACCAACCAAACCUAUUGUUUGCUUAAGAUAUAGCACAUAGUCUUCUUUCUAAAAGGCUCAUUUAGAAAAGAAGUCGUUCGAGCCUCGUUAGUUUGAUGUAGAUUAAUAACUAAUUAAACUCAAUCUAUCUAAAAUUGAUUUUUUUAGAAUGUAUUUAAAACAAUUUUAGUAUCAAAAAUCAUUCUAAACUGUAGAUUUAUUAAUAAUGAUUGUGGCUGGACCCGGGUUCGACUCCCGGCAUCUCCACCA